rnacentral:rRNA from 1 species
GAUGAACGCUGGCGGCGUGCCUAAUACAUGCAAGUCGAGCGAACAGAUCAUGAGCUUGCCCCUCUGACGUUUGCGGCGGACGGGUGAGUAACACGUGGAUAACCUACCUUAAAGUCUGGGAUAACUUCGGGAAACCGGAGCUAACACCGGCUAAUAUAUCGUACCGCUUUGUUCAAUAGUGCAUGACGGUUUUGCUGUCUCUUAUAUAUGGAUCCGCGGCGCAUUAGCUAGUUGGUAAGGUAACGGCUUACCAAGGCAACGAUGCGUAGCCGACCUGAGAGGGUGAUCGGCCACACUGGAACUGAGACACGGUCCAGACUCCUACGGGAGGCAGCAGUAGGGAAUCUUCCGCAAUGGGCGAAAGCCUGACGGAGCAACGCCGCGUGAGUGAUGAAGGUCUUCGGAUCGUAAAACUCUGUUAUUAGGGAAGAACAAAUGUGUAAGUAACUAUGCACGUCUUGACGGUACCUAAUCAGAAAGCCACGGCUAACUACGUG